ACCUUUUUUUGGUCUUUUGGUUGAGAUCAAGUGUAAUAUUUGUUCUUAUCGAUUUAAUAUCUGGUAUAUGGACGAUAAGUUCACUUUGAUAUUAAAUUUAUUUUAUGGGUAUUUUUAGAGGGACCACCACAA
rnacentral:snRNA from 1 species